rnacentral:rRNA from 1 species
UUGGAGGGCAAGUCUGGUGCCAGCAGCCGCGGUAAUUCCAGCUCCAAUAGCGUAUAUUAAAGUUGCUGCAGUUAAAAAGCUCGUAGUUGAAUUUCGGGACCAAUAUGUCGGUCGUGCCUCGGUACGUACUGGCAUCGUUGGUUUCUCCCUUCUGACGAACCAUGAUGUCAUUUAUUUGGUGUCGUGGGGAAUCAGGACUGUUACUUUGAAAAAAUUAGAGUGUUUAAAGCAGGC